ACUAAAACGCUUCACCCCCCUCGCGUUUUCUGGCGGCUGGCGACGAGGGCGACGAGAGGGCGACGCGGCGACGAGGCGACGAGGCAGGAAGACGACGCCGCGCCGACGCUCCUGCCGCCGCCCCUCAUCGUCAAGCUUGAUCCUUUAAAGGUCCUGCCGCCGCCGACCUAGAGCUCCUGCCGCCGCCCCUCCUCUCCGUCGAAGCUGGAGUCAUUCCUGAGUACCAUCCAUCCCGCCGCCUCCUCUCCCUGGUACAUAUCAAUGAGCACGGCUUAGAGAAAACUUAUGUUCAUGCUGCCCUUUUGCUCUGCUUGAAGUUGUCAGAGACCAUGCCUGAAGAUAUUUAUUGCUGGCACUUAGCUGAAAUAAUACUGGAUAAUUAAUUGUGUAGCAAGUCUUUAGCUUCGGUGCCUGAAGAUAUUUGUUGUUGGAACUGAGCUGAAAUCUUAUUUAUUUGCUGUUAAGAUCUGAGCUGAAACCUUAUUUAUUUGUUGUUGGAACUGAGCUGAAACCUUAUUUAUUUGCUAAGAUCUAUCUGAACCAAUGAUUGAAGAUAUUUGAUGUUAAAUCUUAUUGAAUUUGUAUUUGAAACACUGUACCAAUUAUUGAAUUUUUAUCUAUUCAAUGUAAUUAUUGAAUUUC